rnacentral:rRNA from 1 species
UCCAUGGCGAAGGCAGCUACCUGGACCAACAUUGACACUGAGGCACGAAAGCGUGGGGAGCAAACAGGAUUAGAUACCCUGGUAGUCCACGCCCUAAACGAUGCGAACUGGAUGUUGGGUGCAAUUUGGCACGCAGUAUCGAAGCUAACGCGUUAAGUUCGCCGCCUGGGGAGUACGGUCGCAAGACUGAAACUCAAAGGAAUUGACGGGGGCCCGCACAAGCGGUGGAGUAUGUGGUUUAAUUCGAUGC